UGACAGUGGAUGUCUCAGAGAUCUGUGCUCGUGGGUUCCCAGCAAACUUCCCCUCAGGAGUCAGAGCCAGACGUCUCUCUCCUGGGUGCUGGGUGUGAGAAGGACUCUCUCCAAGAGGAAUAGCAGGCACACAGGAGCUCUAAGGAGGUAGGGGCCCUGCUGGGGCGCUCCGUCUGUUCGAGAUGGUAAAACUGGAAAGGGGGCAGAGUCCAGCAGAAAAAGCUUUGUGAAGAGCUCGCAGAGAGCCAACACAAGCCGACAGCUGGCAGGAUAAGGAAGGCGGCUGAGACUCUCCUACUUC